GGUAGAGGGUUGGGGAGCAGGCUUUGUACUCCUCUGAAGUCGUACCUUUUGUAUGCACCGGUUCUGGUUCAAUCCGGUGCCAUCGCCUUUUGUUUGGAGAUGGAGCCAGCCGAGGCGAAGCGGGAGGGGCUGGCCGGCGCGCGGCGACGGGACCAGGCUUUCAAAUGCGGAGAAAACGCAGGAGUCGUGAACGGCAGAACAGUUCCUGAAAAUGGCUGCUUGGCAGAACAGAUAUGCUAAGAGUGAUUCCAUAAAAGCAGCUCAUUCUCAGAAGCGCCACAAGAGAAGUGGCACUCCUGGAGAUGUCGGAGAAAGACGUAUAGGUUUUGGAAGACAAUGACUGAAAAUGUGCAGGGAAGGAAUUAAAUUGGAGGAUGUCAAACAUCAUUGUCAGAUUUAUUGGAUCCAGAGUCUGAAGGUGUAUAUAGUAAGGGAACUCCCAUCUGUCCAAAUACUUGGAAAUUCAGCCUAGAUGUGCUGUGUAGGCAGCAGGGACGCAGCCGCCUGAUGCAUCAUAUGUCUCCCAGGGUGCGCAUGAGCGGGCAGCUGGAUCAAGAGUGGAGCCAAGAUCUGAACCUAGGCGCUUGGAAUAUGUGAUACACACAUCCCAAAUAUCUUCUCAGCUACUCUGCCAAGUGCCUCCUUGCACUGAAAUAUGAAUGACUCUAGGUUGUAUCACUACAUGACUGUGCAGUAAACUACAGCUUCAUUAGGGAGCUAUAGAUGAGAAGAUGGCAGGAAGCUGGAUAUUGCAAAUCUCAGUUCUUUCAUAAUUAAGCUUGUUGUAGACAUUUCUUAAAUGUGAAGAUCUGUUGUGAAUACUUAGGUUGACAAAAGUAAACUUUCUGCUUACGUUUGUAGAACUCUAAUGCAAAUAUUGCUUAUAGCCUUUAAUACAAAGAUUUAUGAAAGUAAUGCACUUAAUAAUAAAAGAUGACUGGAGAAUCAUGCUGCUGUUGGCUGAACUGUAAACUUGGUACUGAGUGCUGUGCCACAUGUCAGGUACACAUGCCAUUUAUGCCUUGUGUUUUGUUGGUUUACGACUUAUUUCUUUAGUGACAAAGAGGGAGAGAAUUUUGUACACACUGGUUCACUCCCCAGAUGGUCACAAUGACCAGCACUGGACCAGAGGUAAAGCCAGGAGCUUCAUCUGGGUCUUGUGCAUGGGUGACAGGGCCCAAGUAGUUGGACCAUCUGCUGCUGCUUUUCCCAUGCCAUUAAUAGGGAGCUGGAUUGGGAGUAGAGUGGGUGGGACAUGAAUGGUCUCCCACAUGGCCAUGGCUCCUGCCUCAUGAUGUGUUUAUUUGGUUCAGAAUUUUACUCUUUCUUACCUCAAGAUUUCUGAAACUUCUUGAAAGACUGUCCCUAAGACUGCAAAUCCUAAUCUGAAGAACUGUGCAUUAAAGUAUCUGAAUGCUUGAUCCAGCAUAAUAUGUGCUUUUGUAUAUUCAGUUAGUCUUUGCUGUACCUGUUUCCAGUGUAUGUGAUGUUAGGUAACCACAGUUCCAUUAAGUAAUACGACAGUUACACAAUAUAAACUGAAUAGGUGUAUAUGCUUUGCUACUAGCUCUUUAUUCUUACCUAUGCAAAUAAGACGUGGCCAGUGA